AUAGAAUAAUUAAAACUAAAACUAAGAAAUUAAAAAAAUUAAUAUUAAAAUUUUAAAAAAAUCUGAAAUAAAAAGAGAGAGAGAGAGUGAACAAUAAUCGGGGAUGGAGGUGGGGCGCCGCCGCCGCCCACUACUCCAACUGAAGUCGCCGGUAGGCUCACACUUUAUUUUCCUUUUUGUUUUUUUUUUUUUUUGGAUAGGUACACCUUAUUUUCCUAUGUAAUUAAGGAGUUGAAUGAAUAUAUAUAUGGAUGGAAGGCGAGUCUACUGUCUCUUGAGGGGGGUCGUGUUUUUAUGGUUGAUUCUAUCCUUCCCUCCAUACCUUCCCACAUAAUGCAAUGCACCCUCUUGCCCCAUGAUGCCUCUGAGACUCGCUCUCUGAAUUAUCCUCCUUUGGAACCACAUAUUUCCAUAAGCUCUCUGGUUACUAUGGAAACAAAGAAACAAGAGAAUCUUGGAGAGUGUCCCUCCCCAACCUCAACUGUUGCAUCGCAAGUGCAUAGAGCAAGCAGCUGAGUUUUUUGCCUUGCAAAAACAUUCCAUCACUUCCCACAAGACAACCAUCUUUCGGUGGCUUCCCCCAUGAUAAUUGGUUGAAACUCAACACUGAUGGCUCCGCUAGAGGCUGCCCGGGAUGUGAAGGAGCGGGAGGCCUUUUCAGAAACCAUGCAGAUGGCUGAAUCGAGGGUUUUAGUCAAUUCCUCUGGGAACUGGGAGCAACAUCACAGCUGAGGCUUGGGCUCUUUGGGAUGGACUUCCGAUGGCACUCGACAUGGGCAUCCAAUUCCUUAUAGCGGAGUUUGAUGCCAAGAAUCUCAUACGGCGCUUCGUCGGCUUUAGGAUGCAGCAUACUUAUCGGGAAGCCAACUCCAUAGCUGACUACCUUGCAAGGCUAGCUUCUAAUUAACUCUAUUGAUAGCCCCUACCAUGACUCACGAUAUUAUGUACUUUAAUUCACCUCCCGCUGAGGUGGCUAAUCUCCUUUUGGCUGA